CGCUCAAACCAUUUUUUUCCUAAACCUAAUUUCUUUCCAAACCUCAUCAACCCCUUUCUUCUUCUUUCUAUCAGCCGCCAAAACUCAACAACCACCAAAACUCUCACGCCUCCUCAUUCGAUCGACUCAACCCUCGUCUCUCAUUCUCUCACAUCUCCAUUUCUGAACGGUGGUUAGACUCAUUCAACCAUCUUCUUCAUUCAAUCUCACAACCAUGAAUACAAGCCAGCUUCGUCGUCUUCUUCUCGUCUUCGUAACUUCCGGCGCCGCUAGAUAACCACCACCAUCAUCGCCUUCGCUUGAAUCAAAGGUCUCGGAACACCAAUCACAUUCGAAGUACAUCAUUCCUCCAUUUCAACCGCGAUUUUGAUUCUUAACACAAAACCCUAGGUUCUUUACGGACAGAAUUGAACAUUCACCGUCACAAAUUGAGCUCGAUUCCUUGGGGGUUAGAUUCACCAUAGCAUAAGCUUCGUGUUGGUGACAAGAACUAAGCAAAGCGGUGAAUUAAAGAAUGAGUUCGGCAGUUACCUAUCAGAGAUUAACAAAUGCAAUUUCGACAACGACGAAGAGAAAAAGAAAACCAGAUGCUCCGCCUUUCAGGGUAAACCAAGAAAUAACACACAGAGAUGAUGUAACUUUUUGGUUGAUACUUUGUCAGUAGGUUUAUGAAUACUAGAACAUAGAUAUGAGCUCAUCCCAAUUGAUGCCAAUUUAUCAUUUCCUUAGUCCUGAACCGUGUUGUCAAUGCAGGUUUCAUAGGAGAUGACAAGGAGACUUUUGAGACAUUUGAAUCUAUGGAGUUUGGACUACUCUUUUUCUAGAGGAACUGCUCAUUUACUUGCAAAGAUCUUGACUAUCAACAAACUCUAAGGGGUACAACUUGCUGUUAACAACCAUGCGUGGUGAUUUUACUGUGUAUCAUUUCCAGUCAAAUUAUCUGGCUUUGCUUUCAGUGCCAACGGGUGGGUUCAAUCCUAUGGAUCCCACUAUGUCAAACAAGCAAUUAUCUAUGGUGAUGUGAGUCGUCCCAAGCCAAUGACUGUUUUCUGGUCUUCGACAACUCAAAGUUUGACAAAACGACCUAUGAAGGGAAUGCUUACUGGCCCUGUUACAAUUCUGAACUGGUCCUUUGUUAGAGAUGACCAACCUUGAUUUGAUACUUGCUACCAGAUUGUGUUGGCUAUAAAGGAUGAGGUUGAGGAUCUUGAGAAAGCUAGCAUUACUGACAUCCAAAUCGACGAGGCUGCUUUAAGAGAAGGUUUGCCUCUAAGGAAAUCUGAGGAGGCUUUCUAUCUAAACUGGGCAGUUCACUCAUUUAGGAUUACAAACUGUGGUGUGCAAGACACUACCCAGGUUCAACUUCACUUCACGGGUACAUACCUAUUAUUCAAGAUUUAAUUUAUUAUGAAUAUAAGUUACCUACCUAGAGAUGUGUAUAAAAAUGUAGGUGCAUGAGUGAAGUUUCUCCUAUAAAUUAGGACAGCAAGUGUUUGCUUAAAAUAAGAAAUGGCGUGUUUGUCAUUUAAACAUACCUCAGAGUUGCUGAGUGCAACUUCCCUUUUUAACAUCCAUUUUUCCCUUGCAAAGUAACGUUCUUUUAGCUUAUUUUUAAUGGAAGGUGUUGGACGAAAGCUUCACUUUUAUCUCUGUCUCUUAAUUUUAUGAGUUGUAAAAUGAACAAAGAGUUCCAUAAUAAUUAUAAUCCUCUGUUUGCACUAUGUGGGCUAGGAAUAGUCCAUAGCUAGGACAUAUUAUUAUUCGAACCAUAAGUCUAUGCCAUUGACUAACUUUGAACUUAUGAUGGGAAAUGGGUAAUUCUUUGGUUGUUUCCUUGUAUGCUGAGAUUUUCUCUCUGUCUCAGAUAUUGUGUUAAUGAACAUAUGAUUUUGGAAUUGAUUCAGUCAAAAGAAGUUGAUUUUAAAAGCUUAGAAGAGGCUCCUUUGGAUAAACUAUUAUCCAAUAUUAACGAAGAAGGACACCUCUAUGGGGUCCGUGGAAGUUCUGGAGG